rnacentral:misc_RNA from 1 species
UCGAACCUGCAUAGCAGAACGACCCGCGAAUUGGUUACAACCGACGGGGGGCGGGGGGCGCUCGUCGCCCCCUCGCCCCCCCUUGCGGGCGGGGACCUCGCGUCUCUUGCCAGCAAACCGAACCCCGGCGUGGAACGCGCCAAGGAAGCAGGGACCUCGUGUCUCCUGCCCGCAAACCGAACCCCGGCGCGGAACGCGCCAAGGAAAUCUAACCAAGAGAGCCAUGCCGGAGGCCCCGGACACGGUGCGCCCCCGGCGUCGGCGUCUUAUGAAUUAUUC